AAGAUGAAGAGUUGUUUAGGUUCAUGAAAGCAGCCUAAAUUCAGAAAUUGCAUGCUCUAAAAUAAAACUGCUCAUACACAUUGGAUAGCAUGGAAUUAAUUAAGUCUGCAUACUAAGCUUGACACUAUAAAAACAAUCUGCACUUAAUAAAAAAACUGUGUAAAACCUAUUCAAAGCUAUACUUUUACAUAGCAAUUGGGAUCUUUAAGCAUGCUACAGCAGAAACAAACUAAGGAACGAGUAAUUUGGAUUCCUUAAACAUGCUUCAACAGAAAUAAGUCAAGGAAACAAGAAAUCUGGAUUCCUUAAACAUGCUUCAACAGAAAUAAGGCAGAGGGAACCAUUCUUGGGAAUUACUCUUAAUCUUCCAGUCAUCAAUUCCUAAAGCAUGCUACUGCCACAUUAAAAAGAAAUAAGCGAAUCUCAUAUAGAACUCUCUAAGCAUGCUAUAGAAUGCUACGGCAGAAAUAACAGGAAGAAAACAAAUCUCGGAAGUUUCCCUUAAUC